AUUGAACGCUGGCGGCAGGCCUAACACAUGCAAGUCGAGCGAGUGGCGGACGGGUGAGUAAUGUCUGGGAAACUGCCUGAUGGAGGGGGAUAACUACUGGAAACUGUAGCUAAUACCGCAUACCAUCAUAUGUGCCCAGAUCGGAUUAGCUAGUUGUUGGGGUAAUGGCUCACCAAGGCGACGCUCCCUAGCUGGUCUGAGCGGAUGACCAGCCACCCUGGAACUGAGACACGGUCCAGAGUCCUACGGGAGGCAGCAGUGGGGAAUAUUGCACAAUGGGCGCAAGCCUGAUGCAGCCAUGCCGCGGGUGUGAAGAAGGCCUUCGGGUUGUAAAGCACUUUCAGCGGGGAGGCGUUACUCGCAGAAGAAGCACCGGCUAACUCCGUGCCAGCAGCCGCGGUAAUUC
rnacentral:rRNA from 1 species